GAUUCUCAUCUCAGCAGUAUCAAGAAGGCAAGAGCCCAAAGCUGCACGCUCAGCUGAAGAGGAUGACCAUCCCCGAUAGAGGAGGACCGUUCUCAGUCAAGGGUAUUCGAGUAGCUGCACUCCCCGGCUAGAACCUCCAAACAAGCUCUCAGGAAGGAGAGAGAACGGGGCCCGCCACACACAGCGCUUGGCCCGGGUGACAAGGAGCAUUCGGCUCAAAG
rnacentral:snRNA from 1 species